UACGUAGGGGGCGAGCGUUGUCCGGAUUUAUUGGGCGUAAAGAGCUCGUAGGCGGCUUGGCAAGUCGGGUGUGAAACUCCAGGCUCAACCUGGAGAUGCCACUCGAGACUGCUAUGGCUAGAGUUCGGUAGGGAGACUGGAAUUCCUGGUGUAGCGGUGAAAUGCGCAGAUAUCAGGAGGAACACCGGUGGCGAAGGCGGGUCUCUGGGCCGAAACUGACGC
rnacentral:rRNA from 1 species